rnacentral:rRNA from 1 species
UACAGAGGUCUCAAGCGUUGUUCGGAUUCAUUGGGCGUAAAGGGCGCGUAGGUGGUUUGCCAAGUCGGGGUUGAAAUCUUUCGGCUUAACCGGAAAAGUGGCUUCGAUACUGGCAAGCUGGAGGGAGGUAGGGGCGGAUGGAACUUCCGGUGGAGCGGUGAAAUGUGUUGAUAUCGGAAGGAACGCCGGUGGCGAAAGCGAUCCGCUGGACCUCUUCUGACACUGAGGCGCGAAAGCCAGGGGAGCAAACGGG